rnacentral:rRNA from 1 species
GAUGGCAGCUGCUUAACAUGCAGUCGACGGCAGCACGGGUGCUUGCACCUGGUGGCGAGUGGCGAACGGGUGAGUAAUACAUCGGAACAUGUCCUGUAGUGGGGGAUAGCCCGGCGAAAGCCGGAUUAAUACCGCAUACGAUCUACGGAUGAAAGCGGGGGACCUUCGGGCCUCGCGCUAUAGGGUUGGCCGAUGGCUGAUUAGCUAGUUGGUGGGGUAAAGGCCUACCAAGGCGACGAUCAGUAGCUGGUCUGAGAGGACGACCAGCCACACUGGGACUGAGACACGGCCCAGACUCCUACGGGAGGCAGCAGUGGGGAAUUUUGGACAAUGGGCGAAAGCCUGAUCCAGCAAUGCCGCGUGUGUGAAGAAGGCCUUCGGGUUGUAAAGCACUUUUGUCCGGAAAGAAAUCCUUGGCUCUAAUACAGUCGGGGGAUGACGGUACCGGAAGAAUAAGCACCGGCUAACUACGUGCCAGCAGCCGCGGUA